AAUAAACCUCAUUAUCUAUGUUGUUCAGGUUUAUGCAAAAAUGUGGUCUUUCAUCGUCAUAUUUUUCUCAAGUCAACCAAUGAAAGACCACAUUUUUGCAUAAACCUGAACAAAAACAUAGAUAGUGAGGU